rnacentral:snRNA from 1 species
AGCUUUGUGCAAUGGCAGUAUCAUAGCCAGUGAAGUUUAUCCAAGAUGUAAUUAUUGCUAAUUAAAAUUCCUACAGGAGCAGC